ensembl:misc_RNA Y_RNA Y RNA
GGCCAGUCCAAGCACAAUGGUGUUUACAACUAAUUGAUUACAACCAGUUACAAGUAUCUUUGUUCCUUCUUCACUUCCCCUGCUUCACUUGACCAGCCUUAA